GUGAAUACCAUCUGGCCUCUGGGCAGUGGUGUAUCCUGGCUUUGUGCUGCCCUAGGCAGGACAGAACUCAGGCGCCCCCCGCGCCACCCCUACCCAACCCUUCCCCCCGCCCCACCUUCUAAAUACACACACACAGGCAGACACACACACACACACAGUCAGACUCCAACACACAGUCAGACACACACACACACACACACUCACAUUAACACUUUUUUUAACCCCCUCAGCCUCCUUACCUUUGGGAAAUCUUGGGGGGGGGGGUUCUCUCUCUCCCUGGUGAUCCAGUGGCUGCUGGGCUGGGCGGGAGGCGCUGGC